UGGGGAAUAUUGGACAAUGGGCGCAAGCCUGAUCCAGCCAUGCCGCGUGAGUGGUGAAGGCCUUAGGGUUGUAAAGCUCUUUCGCCGGUGAAGAUAAUGACGGUAACCGGAGAAGAAGCCCCGCUAACUUCGUGCCAGCAGCCGCGGUAAUACGAAGGGGGCUAGCGUUGCUCGGAAUCACUGGGCGUAAAGCGCACGUAGGCGGAUCGUUAAGUCAGGGGUGAAAUCCUGGAGCUCAACUCCAGAACUGCCCUUGAUACUGGCGAUCUCGAGUUCGAGAGAGGUUGGUGGAACUCCGAGUGUAGAGGUGAAAUUCGUAGAUAUUCGGAAGAACACCAGUGGCGAAGGCGGCCAACUGGCUCGAUACUGACGCUGAGGUGCGAAAGCGUGGGGAGCAAAACAGGAUUAGAUACCCUGGUAGUCCACGCCGUAAACGAUGGAUGCUAGCCGUUGGGGGGUUUACCUCUCAGUGGCGCAGCUAACGCCUUAAGCAUCCCGCCUGGGGAGUACGGUCGCAAGAUUAAAAACUCAAAUGAAUUGACGGGGUCAUAGCUGUUUCCU
rnacentral:rRNA from 1 species